rnacentral:rRNA from 1 species
UGGGAUGCACCAGUAGGGAAUCUUCCGCAAUGGACGAAAGUCUGACGGAGCAACGCCGCGUGAGCGAAGAAGGUCUUCGGAUUGUAAAGCUCUGUUGUUAGGGAAGAACAAGUACCGUUCGAAGAGGGCGGUACCGUGACGGUACCUAACGAGAAAGCCACGGCUAACUACGUGCCAGCAGCCGCGGUAAUACGUAGGUGGCAAGCGUUGUCCGGAAUUAUUGGGCGUAAAGCGCGCGCAGGCGGUCCUUUAAGUCUGAUGUGAAAGCCCACGGCUCAACCGUGGAGGGUCAUUGGAAANUGGGGGACUUGAGUGCAGAAGAGGAGAGCGGAAUUCCACGUGUAGCGGUGAAAUGCGUAGAGAUGUGGAGGAACACCAGUGGCGAAGGCGGCUCUCUGGUCUGUAACUGACGCUGAGGCGCGAAAGCGUGGGGAGCAAACAGGAUUAGAUACCCCCGUAGUCC